AGGAAGCCCAACGCGUCUCGAGCUGAGUGCGCCGCAAAAACGGAGCCAGCUCAACUCAAAGGCCAACUUAGGAACCUGAACUCUGAGCUGUCGCCUGAACAGGGGCUGCCGGUUACAUCCAGCCCCAGGCAGCCAAGCUGACAUCUAGCUGUGCUGGGAACUCCCCAUGCUCGGCUCUCAGCAUGGAGCAUGAGUGCAGAGCUGGUGGAGGGAGGCUGGGACGGCUCAGAGAGACGUGUUCCUGCACUCGCGAACCCCACAACCCCCUCCGUCUUCCCCCUGGUUCCCUGCUGCAGCAAGACUGGCAAUGCUCCCACGGACAGCAGCUUGGCCUGCCUCGUAACUGGCUAUUUGCCAUCACCAGUGGACAUCAAGUGGAAUUCUGGCAAAGUGACCAAGGGGGUCAAAACUUUCCCAGAGAUGAUGAUGAGCAAUGGGCUCCACACCCAGAGCAGCCUGCUGAGCCCCUCUGACAGUUCCCAGCAGGGCGUCCCCUACCAGUGCGACGUGAUGCAUCAAGGCACAGCAAAGACAGUGUCGAAGAAGUUCCCUCAGGAAUUGUGUGGUUCGAUGAUGCCACGCCAGGUUCACCUCCUGGUCACCACCUGCAAGGACAGGGCCACAGAGAGCCAGCUGGAGCUGGUUUACCUCCUCCUGAACUUCAGACCCGGCAAAGCCGACGUGAAAUGGCUGGUGAUGGAAAGGAGAGGAGUCCCCCCCUCCCCGGCCUUUUCCUCUGCAAUGGGCACAGAUGGCUCCUACAUGGGGCAGAGCCGCAUGAACAUCACCAGGCAGAGCUGGGAGACAGGGGAUGUCUACACCUGUCAAGUAACCCACCCAGCAGUGGGAACAGAGCUCUCCAUGCACAACACCAGCAAGUGCUUGGGUGAGGGACUAUGCCCGUGCAUGGCAGGGAGGUGGGGUGGAGAGUUACUCAGAAACCAGCCCUGCCUAGUGGUAGGUGGGACUGCAUCUAGACCCUAGCGUGAUGGGAGACAUAGGAGUACCAUAGAGAAAUUGAUACUGUAGGUGGAUGGGAAGAGAAAGAGAGUUAUAAUGGGGGGAUGGAUGGAUGGAAUGGAUACUACCAGUGUUCUGAUGGAGCUGGAUGGAUGGAUAGA